AAGUCCCGCAACGAGCGCAACCCCUGCCUUUAGUUGCCACCAGAUUAUGCUGAGCACUCUAAAGGGACUGCCGGUGAAAAACCGGAGGAAGGUGGGGAUGACGUCAAGUCCUCAUGGCCUUUAUGUCCAGGGCUACACACGUACUACAAUGGGCGGCACAAUGAGUCGCAAACCCGCGAGGGGGAGCCAAUCUCAAAAAACCGGCCUCUCAGUUCGGAUUGCAGUCUGCAACUCGACUGCAUGAAGCCGGAAUCGCUAGUAAUCGCUGAUCAGCAAGCAGCGGUGAAUACGUUCCCGGGCCUUGUACACACCGCCCGUCACAUCACGAAAGCCAGUUGUACUAGAAGCCGGCAAUUCAACCGUAAGGAGAUAGCCGUCCAAGGUAUGACUGGUGAUUGGGGUG
rnacentral:rRNA from 1 species